AGUUUUUAAAGAGAAGCUAAAUAGAAUUUAUAUUUCUAGAUCCUUGAGGAAUCACCACACUGUCUUCCCUGGCACAUAUACACCAUGGAAUACUAUGCAGCCAUAAAAAACUAUGAGUUUGUGUCCUCCAUAGAGACAUGGAUGAAUCUGGAUACCAUCAUUCUCAGCAAACUGAUGCAAGAACAGAAAACCAAACACUGCAUGAUUUCACUCACAGCAACAGAAAAUGGACAAAGAUAUGGAGCAAGGGGCAGAAUGAUUCUUGAAGAUGCCGAGUAACUUCUGGUAUGUUUGCUUCUUUUAUACACAUUUUGCCAUCCUCUUGGGAUAUAAAUUUUUAUGCUUAAAGCAACAAUGCUACAUGCAAUUCUGG
rnacentral:lncRNA from 13 species